UACGUAGGGGCCGAGCGUUGUCCGGAGUUAUUGGGCGCAAAGCGCGCGCAGGCGGCCUCGCGCGCCCGACGUGAAAGCCCCCGGCUUAACCGGGGAGGGUCGUUGGGAACGGCGGGGCUUGAGGGCGGGAGAGGUCGGUGGAAUUCCCGGUGUAGUGGUGAAAUGCGUAGAGAUCGGGAGGAACACCUGUGGCGAAGGCGGCCGACUGGGCCGACCCUGACGCUGAGGCGCGAAGGCGUGGGGAGCGAACGGG
rnacentral:rRNA from 1 species